rnacentral:rRNA from 1 species
GAUGAACGCUGGCGGCGUGCCUAAUACAUGCAAGUCGAGCGAACAGAUGAGGAGCUUGCUCCUCUGACGUUAGCGGCGGACGGGUGAGUAACACGUGGAUAACUUACCUAUAAGACUGGGAUAACUUCGGGAAACCGGAGCUAAUACCGGAUAAUAUAUUGAACCGCAUGGUUCAAUAGUGAAAGACGGUUUUGCUGUCACUUAUAGAUGGAUCCGCGCCGCAUUAGCUAGUUGGUAAGGUAACGGCUUACCAAGGCAACGAUGCGUAGCCGACCUGAGAGGGUGAUCGGCCACACUGGAACUGAGACACGGUCCAGACUCCUACGGGGGGCAGCAGUAGGGAAUCUUCCGCAAUGGGCGAAAGCCUGACGGAGCAACGCCGCGUGAGUGAUGAAGGUCUUCGGAUCGUAAAACUCUGUUAUUAGGGAAGAACAAAUGUGUAAGUAACUAUGCACGUCUUGACGGUACCUAAUCAGAAAGCCACGGCUAACUACGUG